GACGAACGCUGGCGGCGCGCUUAACACAUGCAAGUCGAGCGAGAACCCAGGCUUCGGCCUGGGGGAAAGCGGCGAACGGGUGAGAGUCACGUGGGUAAUCUGCCCUCGGCAUCGGGAUAGCCCGGGGAAACCCGGAUUAAUACCGAAUGGCCCAUCCGCUCUUCGGAGUGGCUGGAAAAGGUAGCUUCGGCCUCCGGCCGAGGAGGAGCCCGCGGCGGAUUAGCUUGUUGGUGAGGUAACGGCUCACCAAGGCGACGAUCCGUAGCUGGUCUGAGAGGACGAUCAGCCUCACUGGGACUGAGACACGGCCCAGACUCCUACGGGAGGCAGCAGUAGGGAAUCUUCCGCAAUGGACGCAAGUCUGACGGAGCAACGCCGCGUGAGUGAUGAAGGUUCUCGGAUCGUAAAGCUCUGUUGCCAGGGAAGAACAGCCAGGCGAGUAACUGCGCUUGGAAUGACGGUACCUGAGAAGAAAGCCCCGGCUAACUACGUGCCAGCAGCCGCCGUAAAAC
rnacentral:rRNA from 1 species